GCUCACCUGUUCCCAUUCCGAACACAGAAGUUAAGCCCUCUAGCGCCGAUGGUACUGCGUAAGCGGGAGAGUAGGUCGCCGCCAGUU
rnacentral:rRNA from 1 species